rnacentral:rRNA from 1 species
UACGGGGGGGGCAAGCGUUGUUCGGAAUUACUGGGCGUAAAGGGCUCGUAGGUGGCCAACUAAGUCAGACGUGAAAUCCCUCGGCUUAACCGGGGAACUGCGUCUGAUACUGGAUGGCUUGAGUUUGGGAGAGGGGUGCGGAAUUCCAGGUGUAGCGGUGAAAUGCGUAGAUAUCUGGAGGAACACCGGUGGCGAAGGCGGCAUCCUGGACCAACACUGACACUGAGGAGCGAAAGCCAGGGGAGCAAACAGG